rnacentral:tRNA from 1 species
AAAUUAGAGCUUGUUUAUAAGUAUCUUAUUUACACUAAGAUGAAAAUUAUUAAUUUAAUUUAAUUUGAA